CUUAGUUUUUUUGUUUUUUUAAAGCAGAUUCUUUGGACCCCAUUUUCAAAGAUUUUGACUCAGCACAUCCAGCAGGAGGCCCAGAAUCUGAGUUUUCAACAUGUACUUGAAAUGCCUCUGAUGUCACUAAACCAUGUAAGUCCUCUUAUUAAUCUCUUUCCAUAAUCUCUUUCCUCUUUUUUUCCUAAUAUACAUCAUAAUUGUAAUUUCUUAUCCAGAAACUCUUUCUCCCCUAGACUGUAAACUCCAUGAGGGCAGGGUUUAUGUCUUCCUUAUUCAUCAUAUCCCUAGCAUUUAAAAGAAGUACCUGAACAGUACACAUGUUCAGUAGAUACUGGGUGAAUUGAAUGACUGAACUGGAUUAUCUAGAAGGAAGCAAAGUACAAGUUGAAAGGCACAAGGGGUCCUUGAGCCCAAGAACCUACAGUCUAAAUGGUCCAAGAUUUAAAAGUCCUUGUUUCCAUGACUCUCACUGCAUGGGGGAGUGUAUCAGCCCACCAUGUAGAAAUCAGUUGAAAUUAUGGUUUGAAUGUUUCCUCCAAAACUCAAGUUAGAAUUUAUUUUCUGGUGCUGGAGAUCAAACCCAGGACUUCUGCAUGCUAGAAAAUUGCUGUACCACUGAGCUGAACUCCCAGCUGUACUGAAGAUUGAACCCAGGGGCUCUUUGCCACUGAGCUACAUUCCCAGACCUUAUUAUUUUAUUUUACUUUUUAAUUUUGAGUAAGGAUCUUGCUAAAUUGCUAAGGAUCUCACUAAGUCACUGAGGCUAGCCUGAAACUUGGUGAUCCUCCUGCCUCAGCUUCCAGAGUUGUUGAGAUUACAGGCAUGCACCACCACCGUCAGGCCCCAUAUUGAAAUGUAAUUGCCACUGUAACAAUGUUGAGAGGUAGGCCCUUUAAGAGAUGAUUAGGUCAAAAGUGAGUUUGUUAUAACUUCUGACCCUCUUGUCCUCUCUUUCUCUCUCUCAUGCAUGCUCUCUUGCCCUUCCACCAAGUUGUGGUACAACAAGAAGACCCUUGCUAGAUGCAGCCCCUUGAUCUUGGACUUCCCAGCUUCAGAACCAUGAGCCAAAGAAACUUUUAUUUUUUUGUUUGUAAUUUUCUCAGCCUGUGGUAUUAUGUUAUAGUAGCAGAAAGCAGAUGAAGAUAGUUGGAAAGACAGGCCUUGUGCAGUACCCCAAACUGGGCUCCCCUUGGGGAGGCACGUCUAGGAGCUCAUGGCCAGACAUGGGCAGAGCAGUCUUGGUUCUGAGACUCCUGAGGCUGGCUUCCGGGGGGCAUAGCUCUGUUGGCAUCUCCUAGCCACAAAACUCUAGCCAGGUUUUCCUGGCCUGCCUGGCUGAUUCUAGUGCCUUUUGGCUGGGUGACCACUCUUACUCUUGGCUGCUUCCACAGUGCCUUAGAGCACACGGUCAGCAAAAUGAUUUCCCUCACCAUUACUGAACUGGCUCUGGGUCAACCCACUGUCGUCUGUGCUGGCUUCUGAGGGCUUGCCAACAUUGCAGGAAGCCGAUGCAGCCAGGAGGGUGUAGGUGAGAUAUCCAGGGGACUGCCGAAGCCUCAGACCUUGUCCCCUCACAAAGUCAGCAUUCUGCAAUUUUCUCCUCAUUGCUCUUAGCCGGUCAUCCAGGCCCCCUAGAUCUUAUCUUAUGACCAACCUCUUUGAUUUCUCUCCCUUCCCGCUGUGUGUUCUCUGAGGGGCAGAAUGAAGUUUUCUAACUCUGCACUGAGUUUAUGAAUAUCAAUUAAUCCUAAAUCAAUCAAUACUUCCCACCUAUGUAAAUACACACAUGUAUACACAGAAGCUACAAAAACAGGCAGUCAAUAUGCUUCAAAGAAAAAAUAGAAUCUUUUCUUAAUGGUAUCAUUGGCUAAUUGUAUGAAAUUCUCUCAAAGCCCUCAAAUUCUUCCCUUGACAUGAAAAAAAAAAUCAGCUCCUUUGAGCAUCUACUACAACCACCUGGAAGUGAUGCUCAGUGUUUUACAUGUUGCCUCAUUCAGUUCUCAGGCAGCCACACACACUGUCUAAAACAUGUACAUGCACAGUUUAAUAAAUAAUUAUGUCCCACAAUAAGUUAAAAAGCACCUGUUCAUAUAUCUGUGAUGAACAUUCCUUUGGGUUUUUUUUUUUGGGUGUGUGUGUGUGUGUGUGUGUAGUGCUAAGGAGGAGCCUGUGCAUGCUACUCAAGUGUUCCACCACAGAGCCCCAGGCCCCUUGCUUUCUUUAUACUUUUACUACUUAUGCAUGCAUUCCUAAAUGAUAUAGUUUUGUCUAUUUUUGAAAUAUAAGUGAAUGGAAUCACACUGUAUAUGUUAUUUGAGUUUUUAAACUUACUCUUAUUUUUGUGAAGUUAAUGAAUUUAGGUUGUUUUAUGUAUCUGAAGUUAAUUGAGGUUUAUUGCUGCACAUUCCGUGUGUAAAAUACCACAAGUGAUCUUUCCAUUCACAAUGUAAGGGAUUUGACUUCUAUUCCUUUUUUGGACUUUAUGAACAUUCUUAUGCAUGAGUUUUGGUGUAUUGGGGUUCAAAACCCUAAGGCAUAUGAUUAAUACUGGAAUCACUAUAUCAAAGACUAUUAGUAUCUUAACAGCUUUAAUGGACAAGUCCAAAGGUUGUUUUCCAAAGGGGUUGUGAUGUUGUGCUUAUUCCUCUCAUCCUACUGAUGAGGAAACCGAGGCUCAGUUCCUUAGUAACUUAGGGUCACCAGUUCAAAGAGGGUAGAGCUGAAAGUAUAUUAAAUCAAUCUGAUUUCAAAACCUAUGCUCUUGACCAACUAACUCACUGUCUACCCUCUUUUAAAAAUUAAGUUACAUCCAACUGGUAUAACUAGGAAGCCAGAAAUAACUCAGUAACUUAAAUAACAGAAAUGCAUUUUUCCCCCUCACAUAAUGACCCGAAGAGUGUUUCAGGUCAGCAGGCAGCCCUGUUCCAUAUGGUCAUUAGAAAUCAAGGAUCCUCUACUGCCUUGUUAUAGGGGGCAUGGUUGAGGUCAGAUUGUUGCCAUGUCUGAGAUCCAGCUGGGAGAGUGUGGGAGUAUGAGCAAGGUUUAAUGUAUGUGUAAGGUUUUACAGACAUGGCACUCGUAAAUGAAGGCUAAGGGCAUGUGGUCAGACACGGUGAGCUUAGAAUCAAAUCAGUCUCAGAUAUCCAGCCAUAUUCUCCUCAGCAAGGAGAUAUUCACUUAGCAUGCGCAGAGAACCAAUAGUUCUAUACAGUGCUCUGUAGGUCUCCUAAUGCCAGAGGCAUCUUCCACUAGAAGAAGCUGUGCCUGUCUGGGAGGUCUGCAUAGGUAAAAGACUGGACAAGAUGACAUCUAGGUCCUUUCCCAAUUUGGGCCUACAUUCCAAAGUCAAAUGGAAAUUGUUCUAAAGUGUCUGGCAUUCUGAAUCAACUUUUCGACUUUUUUCCUGCCUCAUGGUAAAGAAAGUACCUCUCUCUGUCAGGAUUAUGAUCUAUCCUGGAACCCUAGGGGAGAAGCUGGAGGGGGCACUGGUGGGAGGGCAAGGUGGUGGGAUUGGGUAAGGAUCACUUGGAUAGAUCUCUUAACUACUCUCAGCCUCAGUUUUCUCAUCUGUAAAGUGUGCCUAUGUCUGAGAAAGAAGUAGUAAUUAUCCCUAUUUUACAGAUGCAGAAUCUGAGGCUUGGAGAAGUGAACUUGCCCAGGAAUUUGCUAUGGAAAGCAGAAUCAGGAUUCAGGAUUCAAGCCCAGACAGUCUGACUCCAGAGUCAGAAUUGAUAAUUACCAAAGUAUCAUUGUUGGGGUGCCGGAAAGCGGGUGUGUGUGUGUGUGGGGGGGGUAGGGUAAACUACUACAUUUAAUAGAACAACCAUUGUUAGAUGUUCUCUGGCUUCCCAGUCGAUUAGAACGAGUGUUUUCGCAUGAAGGAAACAUGAUAUUUGGGUACAGUGAGAAUGAGGAAGACUCCACCCCAUCUGUCUCGCUCAUGGUUUCUUUCUUGGGAGUAAGGCUGCCUUGAAGCUCAAUGGUAUAGCCUUGCCUAACCCGGGCAAGGCCCUGGGUUCAAUCCCCAGCACCAGGGAGGGCGGCUUGUUCUUUCUAGCGUUGGCAGCCUCUGGCAGGCCCCAAAUAGUGGAACGGCCACAUUAACACGGCCUGGGGCGCCUGCCCCCCAGCGAGGAAGGCUUGGAGCGGCCUCUCUGCAGGCACUGAAGCUCCGGCCCCCAGCAGCCAAGGUUUGGAGGAGGGAGGAGGGGUGCAGCGGUUGCUACGGUUUAUGCUCCUCCAGAGCUUCAGAGCAAGAUUUCCCCAAAAAGCCAUAUUAAAUAAAUAAAAGGAAAUUCAGCAGAUGGGAACAUGAAUCAAUGAAAACUCCCAUAUGAGUGCAAAGAUUUAUGUCAAAAAACAAAACAUCAACAUCUGGGAGCUGCCGCGUCUUCUCUUGGCUGCUCGUUUGGAAUGGAUUCUCGGUGUCGCUUUCCGCCUCUUUCUGGCCCUGGGAGAGUGCGAAAAGAAAUAAAGAAUGAAGCCCAUUUAAAAAGAGUCGUUUUUAAUCAGAA
rnacentral:lncRNA from 1 species